GGUAAUCUGUUGGAAACAUGACCAUGAAGU
rnacentral:piRNA from 1 species